AUUGAACGCUGGCGGCGGGCCUAACACCUGCAAGUCGAACGAGUGGCGGACGGGUGAGUAAUGUCUGGGAAACUGCCCGAUGGAGAUGGAUAACUACUUGAAACGGUAGCUAAUACCGCAUACCAUCGGAUGUGCCCAGAUGGGUUUAGCUUGUAGGUGAGUUAACGGCUAACCUAGGCGACGAUCCCUAGCUGGUCUGAGAGGAUGACCCGCCACCCUGGAACUGAGACACGGUCCAGACUCCUCCGUGAGGCAGCAGUGGGGAAUAUUGCACAAUGGGCGCAAGCCUGAUGCAGCCAUGCCGCGUGUAUGAAGAAGUCCUUCGGGUUGUAAAGUACUUUCAGCGGGGAGGCGUUACCCGCAGAAGAAGCACCGGCUAACUCCGUGCCAGCAGCCGCGGUAAUUC
rnacentral:rRNA from 1 species